rnacentral:rRNA from 1 species
AGGCAUGUGCACGCCCUGCUCAUCCACUCUACACCUGUGCACUUAUUGUAGGUUGGCGUGGGCUGCGGGCCUCCGGGUCUGUCGCAUUCUGCCGACCUAUGUACACUACAAACUCUUGAAGUAUCAGAAUGUAAUCGCGUCUAACGCAUCUAAAUACAACUUUCAGCAACGGAUCUCUUGGCUCUCGCAUCGAUGAAGAACGCAGCGAAAUGCGAUAAGUAAUGUGAAUUGCAGAAUUCAGUGAAUCAUCGAAUCUUUGAACGCACCUUGCGCUCCUUGGUAUUCCGAGGAGCAUGCCUGUUUGAGUGUCAUGGAAUUCUCAACCCAUACAUCCUUGUGAUAUGUGGGCUUGGACUUGGAGGCUUGCUGGCUCUAGUUGGUCGGCUCCUCUUGAAUGCAUUAGCUUGAUUCCGUGCGGAUCGGCUCUCAGUGUGAUAAUUGUCUACGCUGUGACCGUGAAGCGUUUGGCAAGCUUCUAAUCGUCCCGUAUGGGACAAUUACUUGACAUCUGACCUCAAAUCAGGUAG